rnacentral:rRNA from 1 species
GAUGAACGCUGGCGGCGUGCCUAAUACAUGCAAGUCGAGCGAACAGACGAGGAGCUUGCUCCUCUGACGUUAGCGGCGGACGGGAGAGUAACACGUGGAUACCCUACCUAUAAGACUGGGAUAACUUCGGGAAACCGGAGCUAAUACCGGAUAAUAUAUUGAACCGCAUGGUUCAAUAGUGAAAGACGGUUUUGCUGUCACUUAUCGAUGGAUCCGCGCCGCAUUAGCUAGUUGGUAAGGUAACGGCUUACCAAAGCAACGAUGCGUAGCUGACCUGAGAGGGUGAGGGGCCACACUGGAACUGAGACGCGGUCCGGACCACUACGGGAGGCAGCGGUGGAGUAUCUUCCGCAAGGGGCGAAAGCCUGACGGAACACCGCCGCGUGGGUGAUAAAAGUCUUCGGAUCGUAAAACUCUGUUAUUAGGGAAGAACAAUUGUGUAAGUAACUAGGCACGUCUUGACGGUACCUGAUCAGAAAGCCACGGCUAACUACGUG